GGAAAGCUCUUGUUUCGAGGAAUCUGUAUCAGUUGACGGUUUCUUGUUUAGAUUUUCAGAUCGCUAGAACAGUAUUUCAACCGCUAUAUUCAGAAUUUACUUUCAACCUCAGGGCAAAGGUGAGGAGUGAAGGUUCACAGCGAGUCUUGUCGGGUGCUGGUUUUAAAAAUGAGUUUUACUUAUGUUUUAUUUCAGAUAUAACUACGUUGGUUUGACUUUACGAAUUAUGCGGUUUAUGAUUUCAUGUUAAGAUGUUUCUUUAAGAAUAAAGAUGGAUUUUUAUGAAAUAUAUUUAUUAA